rnacentral:rRNA from 1 species
AAUAGAUACCCUGGUAGUCCACGCCGUAAACGAUGAGUGCUAAGUGUUAGGGGGUUUCCGCCCCUUAGUGCUGCAGCUAACGCAUUAAGCACUCCGCCUGGGGAGUACGGUCGCAAGACUGAAACUCAAAGGAAUUGACGGGGGCCCGCACAAGCGGUGGAGCAUGUGGUUUAAUUCGAAGCAACGCGAAGAACCUUACCAGGUCUUGACAUCCCAUUGACCGCUAUGGAGACAUAGUUUUCCCUUCGGGGACAGUGGUGACAGGUGGUGCAUGGUUGUCGUCAGCUCGUGUCGUGAGAUGUUGGGUUAAGUCCCGCAACGAGCGCAACCCUUGUUCUUAGUUGCCAUCAUUUAGUUGGGCACUCUAAGGAGACUGCCGGUGACAAACCGGAGGAAGGUGGGGAUGACGUCAAAUCAUCAUGCCCCUUAUGACCUGGGCUACACACGUGCUACAAUGGACGGUACAAACGGUUGCCAACCCGCGAGGGGAGCUAAUCCGAUAAAACCGUUCUCAGUUCGGAUUGUAGGCUGCAACUCGCCUAC